AAUCAAUUCUUUUAAACUUCUCUGCAUGCACCACUAUAUUUCUGAAACAUUGUCUUGGAUAAUUUGUAUGGGUAACCAAUUUCUUUUCUAUAUUUUUGUUUUGCAGGUUCAAGAUUGUCACCAUCUAAAUCUAGUUCAUGAGAAUGUUUUUUAGAUGAAUAUAUUAAUCUUUAUAAAUAUAAAAAAGUGAGAUUUUUCAAAUA
rnacentral:lncRNA from 1 species